rnacentral:rRNA from 1 species
AGGCAAUAGAUACCCGGGUAGUCCACGCCCUAAACGAUGGAUACUAGGCGUAAGAGGUAUCGACCCCUCUUGUGCCGCAGCUAAACGCACUAAGUAUCCCGCCUGGGGAGUACGGCCGCAAGGUUGAAACUCAAAUGAAUUGACGGGGACCCGCACAAGCGGUGGAGCAUGUGGAUUAAUUCGAUACUAACCGAAGAACCUUACCCAGACUUGACAUCGAUCGCAAGCCCUAGAAAUAGGGCCCUCUCCCCAAAAGGGAGACGUGAAGACACUUGUUGCAUGGCUGUCGUCAGCUCGUGCCGUGAGGUGUACGGUUAAGUCCGCCAACGAGCGCAACCCUCGUCCUAUGUUGCCAGCAUGAAAGAUGGGAACUCAUAGGAGACCGCCGGUGUAAAUCGGAGGAAGGUGGGGAUGACGUCAAGUCAGCAUGGCAGUUACGUCUGGGGCUUCACACAUGCUACAAUGGGCGCAACAAAGGGAAGCAAUACCGCGAGGUGGAGCCAAUCCCAAAAAUACG